AUACCUACCUGGUACAAGAAAUACCAUGAUCAUGAAGGUGGAUUACCCAUAGCAAGGCUCACACACUUCAUUCAGAAUGUGCUGCCUCCCUUCGAGUUCUCUAACUGCUGGGAAACUUAACUGCAUAAUUUGUUGUAAUUGGGAGACUGAGUUUGUGCUCCUCUAAU